AUUGAACGCUGGCGGCAGGCCUAACACAUGCAAGUCGAACGAGUGGCGGACGGGUGAGUAAUGUCUGGUAAACUUCCUGUUGGAGGGGGAUAACUACUGGAAACCGUAGCUAAUACCGCAUACCAUCAGAUGUGCCCAGAUGGGAUUAGCUUGUUGGUGGGGUAACGGCUAACCAAGGUGACGAUCCCUAGCCGGUCUGAGGGGAUGACCAGCCACGCUGGAACUGAGAAACGGUCAAGACUCCUACGGGAGGCAGCAGUGGGGAAUAUUGCACAAUGGGCGCAAGCCUGAUACAGCCAUGCCGCGUGUAUAAAGGAGGCCUUCGGGUUGUAAAGUACUUUCAGCGGGGAGGCGUUACCCGCAGAAGAAGCACCGGCUAACUCCGUGCCAGCAGCCGCGGUAAUUC
rnacentral:rRNA from 1 species